GUGCCAGCCGCCGCGGUAAUACGUAUGGGGCAAGCGUUGUUCGGAGUUAUUGGGCGUAAAGGGCGUGUAGGCGGCUCAUCAAGUCUGGUGUGAAAUUGCAGGGCUCAACCCUGCAGGUGCGCUGGAAACUGGUGGGCUAGAGUUCUUGAGGGGAAGCUGGAAUUCCAGGUGUAGGGGUGAAAUCUGUAGAUAUCUGGAAGAACACCGGUGGCGAAGGCGAGCUUCUAUCAGAGGACUGACGCUGAGGCGCGAAAGCGUGGGGAGCAAACAGGAUUAGAUACCCUGGUAGUCCACGCUGUAAACGAUGUGCACUAGGCGUGGGGCACGUACGUGCUCUGUGCCGCAGCCAACGCGAUAAGUGCACCGCCUGGGGAGUAUGCUCGCAAGGGUGAAACUUAAAGGAAUUGACGGGG
rnacentral:rRNA from 1 species